UCUGGCUUAUAGCCAAGCGGUCUCACUAGAGUGCCCAACUAAAUGCUGGCAACUAGUGACGAGGGUUGCGCUCGUUGCGGGACUUAACCCAACAUCUCACAACACGAGCUGACGACAGCCAUGCAGCACCUGUCUCCACGUCCCCGAAGGGAACCCCUGCUUUCACAGGGUAGCGUGGGAUGUCAAGCCUAGGUAAGGUUCUUCGCGUAGCAUCGAAUUAAACCACAUGCUCCACCGCUUGUGCGGGCCCCCGUCAAUUCCUUUGAGUUUUAAUCUUGCGACCGUACUUCCCAGGCGGGAUACUUAAUGCGUUAGCUUCGUUACCGACUCUAUUAGGAAAGCCGACAACUAGUAUCCAUCGUUUAGGGCGUGGACUAC
rnacentral:misc_RNA from 1 species